CAGCUUUGCAACAUCAUCUCUUCCCAUUUCUCUCUCGCUCUCUCUUCAACGGACCACCAUCAAGCUUGUGAUUGAAACAUUGUGUCUGAAGCAUUGUGGACUUCCUUAAGACCUUUCAUAUCGAAACAUUGUGGUCUGUGGUGUUUCAACCUCUUCAACAACCUUAGAUUUUAUUUUAAUUCAAAUCAUGGACAACAUUUAUAGUUUUGGUUAAGUGGAUGAUAUGUUAGAGGAAACAGCAAUGGUAAGGGCAAAGGAAAAUGAGAAGCUUAAAGGAAAAAGAAAGGAAAACUACUCAAUAAAGGGAAUAAAAAAAUACACAAGUGGAUUGGGUUGAAAAGGCUAUGGAGCUCAAGAGGAUAAAUAAGACUACAUUACUCUGAUGGAAUAGUAAUAAGAUUGUUGUGCAUGCUCCUCACUGGAAAAAGUACACAGAAGUUGAUACAUGGACAUUUCAAAAUUUGAUGGAGAACAAGUUUGAAGGCGCCCAAGCACUUUAGAUGCGUCCAAGUACUUUUUCUAUAGGCGUCCAAGUUUUUGUAGAGGCGCCCAAGUACUUUUUGUUGAGGCGUCCAAGUUUGAAGACAUUAUAUAGUAUACAUUUUGUAAAGCUUCAUAUUGAUAUAUACUUCAAUA